rfam:Xanthomarina gelatinilytica strain AK20 contig10, whole genome shotgun sequence.
CAAGCAGAUCGCCUUAUCGCUGUUCGUUUAGUCGAAUGGAGGAAAGUCCGAACACCAUAGUGCAACAUAGUGGUUAAUGGCCACCAGUCGUGAGGCUAGGAAAAGUGCAACAGAAAGAAUGUACAGGUUAUGCUGUAGUGAAAUCAGGUAAACUCUAUGUGGUGCAAUGUCAUGUAAACCAACGUUUGAAGGCUGCACGCUUGAUGUUGGAGGGUAGGCAGCUAAAGUGCUCUGGCAACAGCGCACUCAGAUAAAUGAUAAGGGCUUUUAUGAAAAUGAAAGUACAGAAUUCGGCUUAUAGAUUUGCUUUGUUA